CGGCAGCGGCUACGGCUGUGCCCAGAGACGGUGGCGGCGGUGGCUGUGCCGGAGACGGCGGCGGCAGCCUCGCCCGGAGGUGACAGCUGCGACAGCGGAGGCUGCGCCCGGAGGCUACGGCGGCAGCGGCCCACUCCUCCUCUCCCCCAAGCAGCACGAGCACCAUGUCCCAGACUCCCAGCCAGAGAUAGGCAAGCUUUUCUCUGAUUUUCUGAUAUUCCAUAUUGAUGUUGUGUUUGAACUUUGAAAUGGGAAUAUGAGAUCAGUAGAUCACCAGUGAGGUCUUAUUUUUAGCUGCUAGUGAUGAACUAUUUAUUUUGUUCAUGUGAUGACCUAUUUAUCCUAUGAUUUUUGCAAAACAGCUAAAUGGCUUAGCUGCGGCUAUAGCCCGCUAUAGCUGAUCUUAGCUAUUUAAAGCCCUAGCAGCUAAAGGCCUUAGCCGGCUAUUUAAAUCCUUGAAAAAAACAAACCUGGUGCGGUAAAGCUGAAGCGCUACAAUUUAGUUUCUGCGAGAGCACGAUCUCGAUUCACCGACUCUGCUUCUUCGCCCCCUACCAACCUCGUGAGGCGUGAUCGACCGGCGACAACGGACGAGUAGCUGUGUCUAAUCAUAUGCUCCCUUUCCGAGACCGGCAACAGCGACGACGCUGCCCCUCUCUCCGCCAGACAACUCCAAUCGGCCGGCGGUCCGCCUCCUGCCCUGAGCCACACAAUUCUACCGGCCGGCGUGAGCGUGACUUCCCGGUGACGGCAAAUGCUGAAGGCAACGUGCAGUGCGGCUGCCCACGGUAGGGUAAGGUGACUGGUGCCGGCGUGCAAGUGCGGGGCUGCGGGCAAGUUGCAUGGAAGCAAGGUAUUUAGGUCUUUGUAUACGACUUGUGUUUUUUUAAAAAAAAAUUUUAGUUUUGACCAUUAUCAUCUGAAAAUGUAAUGCUUCCUCUUCCUCUAUCUACUUUUGAUAGGCAUAUUUCUAAUUUUGAAAAUUAUAUUUUUGAUAGGUAUAUUUCAAUCUAAUAAUCUAUUCUCUUAUUGACUUUCUCGGAUUUAAUCCGUGACUCUCUCUAUUCUUCCACAUAAGGUUGGCUACGUGGGCAUCGAUAAAUAUAAAUAUUAAUGAAUCGUUUGUUGCUGAAGAAUAACUAGUAGAAUGUUUAAAUAGAUAAUAAGUAGAAUUACUUAUCCUUGGUUUGUGUGCCAGGAUGAAAUAUGACUAUCAAAAAUAGAUGGAGUAGAUGGAGGGAGUAUUGUAUUGCAGAUUAUUGAAAACAUGAGGAAUGAUGAGAAUUCUGCAUCUCUUUUUAAUAACAUUUAGGAAAGAAGUAGUAUGGUUUUUUUUGUCAAACUUUUCUAGCUUCAUAAGCUGCUUUUAAGUCAUUUUUUAAUAGAUUCUUAAUUUCUAGAUCUUUCUAAGAUGCCUUAUUAAUAUUUUGAGUCAUUUUUUAAUAGAUUCUUAAUUUCUAGAUGUUUCUAAGAUGCCUUAUUAACAUAACAAGAUGCAUUUUAAAGUUACUUAUAUUAUGUAUUUUUUUAGUUAAUUAUAUGAUAUAUUUUGGCAAUGUUCCAUUUCCAGUAUUUACAAUUUCUCUCUAAGUCGGAUCACCCAUACUCUAAUUCCUGAUACGACACUUAAUGUAAUUACAGUUUAAAUAACAAAAAGGAAAUUCCCCGAACAAGAAAAGUUUGAGUUGCAGUUAAAACAGAGCAAGAAUAAACCAAAACCAAACAAAUGAAACAUGGAAAAUAUAGAGUACAAAAAUUAAAGUUAUACUUAAUCCAUGCUACAUUAGCCUAUCUGCAUCUCACGUCCCAUGCACGGCUCACUGUUUUACAUGAUACUGAUAGCUCGAGGCCUUUUACUCGAUCGAUGCUUUGCUGGCCCCAGUGCUCGUGCUAUCAUCAAUCUCGGAAGUGAAGAUGUGAGGAAGAUAAAGUGGAGCGGUGAGAAUCAGCCGUUGUAUGUCAGAUGACAAGGACGGCGAUUUUUGCCGUUGCUCCCGUUCCUCUGCCAAAGACAGAGCAUAUGAAUCCAACAUUUCGAUGUUCAAUGGCCUUCUUAUAUUCUCUGAUACAUCCCACUCUCAUUGUGCAAUACCAG
rnacentral:lncRNA from 1 species